CAGUCGAACGCUUCUUUUUCACCGGAGCUUGCUCCACCGGAAAAAGAAGAGUGGCGAACGGGUGAGUAACACGUGGGUAACCUGCCCAUCAGAAGGGGAUAACACUUGGAAACAGGUGCUAAUACCGUAUAACAAUCAAAACCGCAUGGUUUUGAUUUGAAAGGCGCUUUCGGGUGUCGCUGAUGGAUGGACCCGCGGUGCAUUAGCUAGUUGGUGAGGUAACGGCUCACCAAGGCCACGAUGCAUAGCCGACCUGAGAGGGUGAUCGGCCACAUUGGGACUGAGACACGGCCCAAACUCCUACGGGAGGCAGCAGUAGGGAAUCUUCGGCAAUGGACGAAAGUCUGACCGAGCAACGCCGCGUGAGUGAAGAAGGUUUUCGGAUCGUAAAACUCUGUUGUUAGAGAAGAACAAGGAUGAGAGUAACUGUUCAUCCCUUGACGGUAUCUAACCAGAAAGCCACGGCUAACUACGUGCCAGCAGCCGCGGUAAUACGUAGGUGGCAAGCGUUGUCCGGAUUUAUUGGGCGUAAAGCGAGCGCAGGCGGUUUCUUAAGUCUGAUGUGAAAGCCCCCGGCUCAACCGGGGAGGGUCAUUGGAAACUGGGAGACUUGAGUGCAGAAGAGGAGAGUGGAAUUCCAUGUGUAGCGGUGAAAUGCGUAGAUAUAUGGAGGAACACCAGUGGCGAAGGCGGCUCUCUGGUCUGUAACUGACGCUGAGGCUCGAAAGCGUGGGGAGCAAACAGGAUUAGAUACCCUGGUAGUCCACGCCGUAAACGAUGAGUGCUAAGUGUUGGAGGGUUUCCGCCCUUCAGUGCUGCAGCUAACGCAUUAAGCACUCCGCCUGGGGAGUACGACCGCAAGGUUGAAACUCAAAGGAAUUGACGGGGGCCCGCACAAGCGGUGGAGCAUGUGGUUUAAUUCGAAGCAACGCGAAGAACCUUACCAGGUCUUGACAUCCUUUGACCACUCUAGAGAUAGAGCUUCCCCUUCGGGGGCAAAGUGCCAGGUGGUGCAUGGUGGUCGUCAGCUCGUGUCGUGAGAUGUUGGGUUAAGUCCCGCAACGAGCGCAACCCUUAUUGUUAGUUGCCAUCAUUCAGUUG
rnacentral:rRNA from 1 species